UACGUAGGAGGCAAGCGUUGUCCGGACUUACUGGGUGUAAAGCGCGUGUAGGCGGCAGGCCAAGUCUGUGGUGAAAUCGCUCGGCUCAACUGGGCGGGGUCCAUGGAAACUGGUCAGCUGGAGGACGGUAGAGGUGAGUGGAAUUCCCGGUGUAGUGGUGAAAUGCGAAGAUAUCAAGUGGAACACCUGUGGCGAAGGCGAGUCCCGGGACAAGACCUGACGCUGAGGCACGAAAGCUAGGGGAGCAAACAGG
rnacentral:rRNA from 1 species